GGGCAUGGAGGCCCUCACGUCAAAAUGGUUGACGUAGUCGGAGCGGUAGGUCUGUCCGACCACACCGUGGACGUCGUCGGUGAGCGCGUUAAACUUGAAGGCCAGCUCGAGGUGCGCUAGGCAGUCAUCGUCAGUGACGCCGUAGCGGUGCACCCUCGAUUCCUCCUCGGUGAUGGGCACGGCGUUGGCCCUGAUGCUGAACUUUCUGUCAACGGCGACCAGCACGCCGUUGGCCGCCUUGGUGCGGGUGACAGACAGCUCGGGUACGCGGCUGGACGUCCACUUGGCACCAUCGACGAGGUCGGCGGGAAGGUAGACUGGUUCACCGUCCAAGGUGAUGUCUAGGUGCUCCACGGCGUCGUCCCAGGUGCCGGUCUUCCUGGCGCCGAGGUAGAGGCGGUGGCCGUCGAAGAGGACGGCGAUGGCCUGGAUCCAGGUGAAGUCCCGGGACAUGCCGCUGUGGCCGCUCUUGCCGAUGAAAUGCGCGUUGAUGUGAAGGUCACGGUCGGAGACGACGCAGAAGUCGGCAUCGCUGCGUCCGUGGAAGUAGAAGGCGUUGCCGUCACCACCAAUGAACCGCGGGUCGCCGCACGCCCCUGGGGUGUUGCACACUGCACCAGGGCACGAACCAUAACCAUUAACCAACAAAAUCAACGUUACUACAAUGUAGAGUAAGUACCUCCAUUGUUAAGGCAUCGAUCGAGUGCUUACCGCAGACGGGUUUGCAUGUGUUGCAGUCUGGGUAGCAGGACUGGGGGCAGUUGGCGGGGCAGUCCAUGUUCCGGUUGAAGCAGUAGGGGUUCUCCUUGCGGCUCUGAGUGCACUUGACCGUCGUUGGCUUCGGCUUCGGCUUCGGGCCCUGGGCUUUGGGUGGCCGUGCCGAGGAUUGCGCGGUGGCGGCCUCCGCGGCGGCGAGAAGGACGACAGCCGCUAAAGCCAGCACGACUCCCACACGCCUCGCCAUUGCGAUCGCCCUCACGCUCUCAGUAGUUACUAUGGUAUUUUCUUUUGUUGCUAAUGACUGGUGGAGAAGGAUGGGUGCGUUUGUAUGCAUGGCUCCAAGGCAAUUUAUAGGCGAUGGAUCGAGUUAGCUUGCUUCCUGCAUGGAGAUUGUCAACGCCGCGAGGGCCGGUAUGCCUUCACCGGCCGGAAACAUGCAUGCCGCUGGCUUGAAGCGAAAAACGUACUUUGCGUGCAUAAAUCCAUGCGUAGAAUCGUAGAUGGAGCUUUAUGCUACCUGCUACGUGCUAGCUACGUAGCUCCGGGCUAUAUACAUGCAUGUAAGUAUACAUAUGGAGUACUAGUUACCGUCCCUGGUUUUCAGGGCAAGAUUCCCAGGAUGCAGCUUAAUCUUGAAGAAAAAUGGCUAAUGCAUGUGCUUAACAGCCUGCUAAAGGAAGCGAUCCGAGAGAGUUUCCCCGUCGUCCUGGAUUACAAUAUAUAUCUCGUACGUACCCGUUUACUCUCGUCUUGUCCUAUUCAGUUUGUGGCAUCAUCCUCGGAUCAAGCAGUGGAGAGCUGGCAAAUUGUCAAAGCAUGGGACACCGUAGGCUAAAAUACUUCACUUUAAGCUAGUAUCAAGAAUAACAAGUAUCAAAUGCUUAGGUAAACUUAAGGAGAACUAUAUUAUAUGCAUUAAUGUGAAGAAAAAACUUCACAAUUCUAAAAUUUAAACAAGUCCAACUAGAAAAUGAGCACGAUCAGUAUUUAACUGCACAAUUUCUUGAUCCUCAAAAAACAAACUGCUUUAUUUCUCUGUAAAUUGUAAAAAAUGAAUGAGACCAACCCAGAUUAGACUAGUCUGCUGACAUUUUUUUAUAGAAGAAAACUCCAUGAGCAUCUAGUGUUAGAGCUGAGGCUCGAACACCGACGGACUGGCUGCAAACUCUAGCGUCAAGCCAAUUGAGCUAUGCUUAAAUAAUAGAGAAUAGCUCAUGUAGUUUUCGCAUGCCACCGAUGGUCCUCGGCGCCGUUCGUCUAAUGUUGCUUGCUGCCUUGUGAUUCCAACCUUACAAAUCUCCAGUAACUCCGUGGAUCGUGACGCUCCAUCUUCAAGCUAGGGAAUGAAGACGUGCAGCAUGCCGCACACAAUUGCAAGUCGCUGUCUGGCAUAUACUACCAUGCUCAAGAAUGUUACGAGUGAUCGAUCCAUUUCCUUUAGGUUUCCUUUUAUGCAUUCACGAGCAUGUGACUAAUUAUGGCCCAACAAUUGAAAUAACUAAAUGGCCCUAUGGCUAUUGCUACUGGUUGUUAGGAAUAAGCCCAAAACGCUAGGAAACGCGGUAGCUGGCCCAGUUAAAGGACGACAAUUAGUUAGCGAGCGUUUCUUCGGAGACUUUCAGCGAGCACUGCGUCGUCAUUUGGAGUGUUCUCACCCGUCAUCAUGUGUCGCGUUUUUUUGCACGAGUUUUUGGCUUUUUAGUUUCUCCACCUCAAAGACCAACGACUCCGACCUGUAAUUCUGUGCAGNUGUUUGGGUUUUUCACCGGUCUUUCUUAGUUUUUUGACAAAAAAAAUAAAAAUUGCAUCAAAAAACAUUUUUUCUGUUUUUUUGCGAGUUGCCUCUCGGAAAUGAAAAAACGUGUUUUCUUACGAGAGGCACGACUCGGAAAGGAAAAAAUGCUUUUUUUCCAUUAGAGACACGGUUUUGCCUGCGCGAGAGGCAUGCUCGUGCCUCUCGGAAAGAAAAAAAACCGUAUUUUUUAGCAAGAGGCACGGUUUUGCUUCCGCGAGAGGCACGGUUUUGCCUUCGUGAGAGGCACGGUUGUGCCUCUCGGACAGGAAAAAACCCGCAAAAAAACGUGUUUUCUAUAUUUUUCCUAUCACGAGAGGCACGGUUUUUUGGUCCUUUUUUUCAUAAUAAAACAGUUCAUCAAAAUCUAUCAACAUGGGAUCUAGUUUUGAAGCUCUCGACGCGAGAAACCCAACACUGAAAACGGUUCGAUAUUUAGAUACACAGUUUAGGAGAUAGAACUUUCUAAAAAUACGGAUCUAUGGAAAAAGGGAAAACUCCAGGGUUGCGACAAAUGGCAUGCAUGCAGUGUGCCACUUGUCUCAACCUGGGAGAUGGGAGUGAUCUUUGAAAAGGCGUACUCCUCAAUUAGUGAUUUCGGUACAGAUCGUAUUUUCGAUAGUUCCAGCUAAAAAUUGUGAGAGGGGAGGAAAGUGUUGAUGUUAACAAUCAUACGAUUCUGGGUCUUAUUCCAAAGGUAGCAAGCCCCUCAAAUAUUCCACAAUUCUGCCCAAUCAGUUUAUGCGACGUUGUUUAUAAGAUUGCGUCAAAAGUGGGUGUAACCCAUCUCAAGCUCAGUCAUCCAGAGAUUAUCUCUCAUGAACAGUCUGCUUUUGUUCCUCGUAGACUAAUUAUAGAUAAUAGCAUCUCCGUAUAUGAGCGUUUGCGCUUCAUGAAAAGGAACAUGGCAAAGUCCAACUGCUAUGCAACACUCAAAUUCGACAUGAUGAAAACUUAUGACAGAGUAGAAUGGCAGUAUCUGGAGUCGAUCAUGUUGAAUCUUGGCUUUGAACAUCAUUGGGUCAAUGUCGUAAUGGGGAUGGUGAGGUCCAUCUCAUUUUUAGUUACUUUUAAUGGUAAAAAGCUUGAUGAGUUCAUACCAUCCAAGGGUAUUCGAUAGGGAGAUCCUAUUUCACCCUACUUGUUCCUGAUAGCAGCGCAAAGCCUUUCGUGUCUAUUGAAAUCCAACUAGUCGUCUCACUUGAACAUGAUAAAGGUGUAUUCAUCGGCUCUGCCGGUUAACCAUCUCAUGUUAGUAGAUGAUAGCAUGUUGUUCUUCAAGGCAAGUUCUCGGGGUGCUAACGAAGUGUCAAACCUAUUGAAUCACUAUCGCCAAGCUUCGGGACAACAAGUGAACACAGAAAAAUCUUCCAUCCUUUUUAGUAAGGGCUGCCCAAAUGUUACUCAAGAGGCAAUUAAACUCUCUCUUCAAGUUCCCAAUGAAUCACCUAAUGAGAAUUACCUAGGCAUGCCAAACGACGUUGGGCAUACAAAGAAUGCUUUCAAGUUUCUGAAGGAUAGAGUUUGGAACAAAAUAAAAGUUUGGAUUGAGAAACUUUUGUCUCCUAGGGAAAAGAGGUACUCAUCAAAUCGGUAGCUCAGGAAAUACGAGUCUAUUCGAUGGCAUGCUUCUGACUACCUCAAGAACUCUGUGAGCAUAUCAAUUCUCUUAUCUGCGGCUUCUGUUGAGGGAGUAAAGAAGGGGUUUGUGACCUAGAGCUUUUUAAUCUGGCUUUGUUGGCUAAGCAAGCAUGGAAACUACUUGAGGACCCAUCGUCUCUUAGCGCACAACUACUGAAGGUGAUAUAUUUUCCUAAGUCCGAUAUUCCUGAAGUUGAGUUGGGAUCUAACCCUUCGAAGUGUGGCAGGCAAUACUAGAUUGUAGAGAUGUUCUUAAGCAGGGACUGAUACGGUGCAUAGGAGAUGGUCAUACUACAAGCAUUUGGGAUAAAAAUUGGGUUCCAUGGGAGCCAUUGUUGCGGCCCCUAAACUCGGCUGAAGCUUCAUGGAACACCAACUUGGUAAGCCAAGUUUUUCUACCGAUAGAUGCCGAGGCGAUCCUCAGUAUACCAUUAUGCACAAAAGUGGCCUCUGAUUUUUGGGCUUGGCACUUUGAGAGAAAGGGCAUGUUUUCUGUGAGAUCGGCCUACAUGAUGCUUGUUGAUACUAAAAAUUGGAGGGAAAACUAGCUUGAUGGGGUUGCUGGUUGUUCGAUAAUACGAAGACAGUUAGGGUGUGGUCUAGGUUGUGGAAAAUUUAUGUCCCGUCCAAGCUGAAAGUUUUCCUAUGGCAACUUGCUCAGCAGCAGGGUUGGGCCUAUAAUGGUGCAAAAUGUGUUGCAUGCACAGUGCCCACAAUUUUGAAGGACCCCACAUUUUUAUAUAGGCCAAAUAGUAUUUUUCAAAAAAAAUCUAGCCGCUGGAGCUGGGCCUGAGUCGAUGAGGAGCUGGAGGUAGGCCUCGAGGCCAUCGAGCGCAGCAGUGCUAGUGCCGAUCAAUCUUUCGAUCGAUAAUAUGACAAUGCAAUCCUCAAAAACAAAAGAUAAUACGGAAAUGCUACCGUCGGUAAAAAAAUAUAAUCGCUAUAGAAGUCAAUUGGGAUCGUCUCGUCUAUCGAUCUGAAGACUAGCUGCGCUGGAUUCUCUAUAGGAAAAAUGAUCAUCUCGUCGCCUUCGCCUCAUCACAUCGAUCAGACCCAUGCCGCUACCGCUAUUCCCUUCCUAGCUUCCUCUUCCAAAUUUCAAACUCACCGUCUCGUCGAAUCGAUUCGUGACCAACCCCAACCACCAGGUGUUUGCUGAGUCCUCUAUUCCAAUUGCAUCGUUGUGUCUAAGUUGGGUCUAAUUCCUCACUUGGGUCUAAGUUGGCACGCAGGCAACCAACCACCUACACCCCGGUUGCAUCGCUGUGUCAAAAUCAUGCCUUUUCUUCAGAGUUGAGACCUGAAAAGUUGUAUGUGUAUUAGUAUAUACAACCAGAGUACUACAAGAGUAGGUACUUAGGUAGUGGAUGAAGAUGAAAUUGGGUUUUGACUUUGUGAAUGAUUAGCCAAGAAUGCAGAACCUUGGUCAUUGCAGUUGCAUCACAUGUUCUUUCUAGUGUUCGCCUAGUAGAGAGAGUAUCAAUUUCUUCCAGGGGCCUGUUAUUGUGAUAGAGUAAUAUAUAUUCUUUCUUCCAAGGGCCACAAUCGUUCAUAUUGGGUUUGUGGAAAUAGAGAUGGAUGUGUAACUGAAAAAGCAUCUUCAAUUAAGCCUGACCGGAGACUGUCUAAAAUCAUUGCAGAAAUUCGAAUUUCUCUUUGGAUGCACCUUGAAAAUGAAUGUAUGAAUGAUUUAGGGGAUGUAUGAAUGUUGUUGUUACUUCCUAGAUGAUUUGCUACUGUCAGUGAGAUCAGUCAUUCUAUUUGCUUGCAUCUGUAGUGUACUGUACUCCAUAUGGAGAUUUGCAAGUUUGAAGCUGUGGAUGGUUCAGUCCUUGUCAUUCAAUUAUUUGCAUUAUCCUGGCUCCCGGAUUACUUGUAAGUAAUUAACUGGACAUCUUGGAGUACUUAAUUACAAUAACUUGACUUGUUGUUAACUGUUGUACUCCUAAAUCCAAGCAAGUUGGAUUAACACCCUCUUCAGUAAAAUUAAAGAAUCUUUUAUGUGCUAUAUUAAAUGAUUAACUGAAACCUUUUUCUAUCAAUAUAACUAUAUUUUUUGGUGAUGUUAUCAUUUCAUCAAGUUUGCAGUUUACUCAUCAUUUUAUCAUGUGUGCUUUAUAAAGAUUUGAGUACUCGUUAUAGGUACGUGAGCCCUAGCUAAAUCAGCCCCUUCAUUUAUAGGUACCCGAACCCUAAAGCAGCGUGUUGACGAACUUCUUGAAGGACACGUGAAGUAUUGUUUGGUGGCUUUUAAGAUGAGACCAUACAUUUUUAAAUCUUUAGCAUCAUAUCUUAGAAGGAAAGAAUUCAUAAACACACACAAGACUCAAGGUCGAGGAGAAGUUAGCAUUCUUCCUGUACAUGUUGUCACAUAAUCCAUCAUAUGAAGAUAUGCAACUGGAAUUCAAGCAUAGUUGAUCCACGUUUCCUGAGUACAUCAACGCGUUCUUUGAUAUCAUCCCUGCCCUAUGUACUCGCUUUGCGGAGCCUCCAUGGAUUGAAAAACCACAUCCAAUAAUUGCUAACGAUGAGCGAUUCUAUCCAUACUUCAAGGUUGUUAUCUUGACACUUCAAAAAUUCCUUACCUUUCUCCAUUAAAAUUUCAGAAGUUAAUUAGCAAAUUUGAAUUUUUACAGAACUCUAUAGGUGCUAUCGAUGGAUCACAUGUUCCUAUUACCAUUGCACCUGAGAGUGUUGCCCCAUUUCGGAAUAGAAAGGGCACCCUGAGCCAAAACAUAAUGAUUGCUUGCAACUUUGACUUGAAGAUCACAUUUAUAUCAUGUGGCUGGGAGGGGUCUGCAACAGAUGCUAGGGUUCUUCGAUCUGUAAUGAACUCUGGGUUUAAAGUACUCGAUGGGAAGUUAUACCUCGUCGAUGGUGGUUACGCAAACAGAUGUCACGAUGUUACAUUCAAUUAGGAACCAAGCGAGUAUUCCAACAGCUACCGCAAUCUUUCAUUACAUCAUCAAAUUGCAUGCUGGUGAUGAGGAAUGGCUUGACAACCAGCAGAUAACAUACCAAUGGCUAAUUUUGUCAAUGUACCCAAUGACAAUGAUAACUACCAAGGGAACAACAUUCAAGGCAAUGCUUUGCGAGAUGAAAUUGCAAUGAAAAUGUGGAAUGAUUUCCCACAUAACUAACUCUUUGUAAGUUUGUGGAUGUAAUUGACAAUUUCUAAUUCAACUAAUUAAUUGUCUUCAAUUUGUGUGUUAAUUUGUUUUGUCCAAAUAGACAUGUAUGCGAAAGGGUCUCCCAAAUUCAACUUGGCACAAGUUGCUACCUUAUUAAGAAUGAAAGGUCUUCUUGGUGCUAAAAUGGAUUAACCAAAGUUUACCAAAUACAGUUCUCCAAAAGGUAUUCUUGUUUGUCACUACAAUUUCUACACGUCACAAGUAUUUUUAUGCACAUAGCCAUUUGAUCUGACUCUGAAUGUUCCAAACAUUAUUCUUAGCUUUGUGCUUUAAUUGGCUUGCGUAGUUGUGAAACAAAGAGCACAAUGGAGUUUAGGACUUGAAAAAAGGUUUGGUGGAGAUACUUAUGGAGCACCAUACUCCUUACCACCGAGGGCAAAAUGGAUUGAGCAAGGAAACUUGGAACUUGAUGGUGACAAAAUUCCAUGUGAAACACAAACAUGUAAAGUUCUCGAAGCCUCAAAUUCAAGAUAAGGAGAAGGAUCACAAAAGAGAAUGCAUGAUGUUAAAAUAAGCUCGAAAGUAAAGUGGUGUUGGCUGGGAUGGCAAAAGAUGUAUGAUAGAAGCUGACACCGACCUUUGGGAUAAUCUGGUGAUUGUAAGUUCUUUAAUUCCACCCUUCGAUAUGGUUACAAUUUUAUACAAUUCUAAUAUUCAUCUAUUACUCUGGUUCUAAUUACAUAAUUUCUCUAACACCAAGUGCAUGGAUGUGUUGAAGACAAUGGUGGCUAUCACCCGCAUCAAGAAGAUCAAAGCAUUCAACGUCUUCAAGGAUGCUGCAAACCGUGAGAUUUUCAUAAAUGCCGCUGAUAAUAAUAACGAGACUGAUGUUAUGUGGCUUCAGUGCGAGAUGUCCCCAUGAUGUAUGUUCAAGUUUUGAACUCUCAAGUGUUGACUAUAAUGCUUGUUUUAUUUCUAGAUGACUUUCUGUUAUAUGUAAUAUGUGUUAGAACAUACGAAACUAUUUAGUGAUCCCCUGCAGAAAGUUAUCAACUAUCUAUACAUUUAUAGAAGAAGUGAUCUAUGUUUCCCUCGAAAUAACAAAAGCAACAUCUAGUGUCUUUGGCUUUCAAAUUCCCCCUCUUAAAAUUGUCUACAGUCAAGAUACUUAUUUUGAGAAAAACCAAAUCAACACCAAGUUUUAGAGGAAUACGAUCUAGCCUACCACAUCUUGUGAGGACACAACACCUGCUGAGGUUUCAAUUCUGAAACGAUUAUUUUGCUUGCUUUGAACAUAAAUGGUGUCCACUGAUUGUGGUUGUGCAAAUCAUAUAUACCAUUGUUGAGUGCAAAAAUGGAUUCGCAAAAGAUUACCAAAAGGAUGAUCAUGACAUCAAAAGAGCAACUCAUCUCCAAUACAACAUCAUUUCUCAUCAUUUCUUGGCCUCCAAUAAUACUCAGCCUUGGACGUAAACAUCAACAAAGGGAAGGUUGUUGUGUGGCUAUAUUGCAUUAUUAUUGUUGCAAAUGUUUGUUGUGAAUGUGAUGUAGAAUUAUGUUGUUGAUGUGAUGGUCUGCAAAAUUAAGCCUUGCAAAAUUAUGAUGUUGCUGAUUCAAAGAUCACAUUUUUAUUUUGAUUCUCCAAUAAUCUUUGUCCCAUAAUUAUGUUAUGACUAUGAUUAAGUGUUGUUAUGAUAAGAUAUUGAUUCCAAGACAUCGAGAAUUAUGUUGUUGUUGUAAUGAUCUACAAAUAUCACAUUUUUAUUUUGAUUAUCCAAUAGUACAAAGGCAAUCCCCACGUGUGAAACAAUAUUUAUAUGUGCAAGGGAAUAUAGGGGAUUUGGAUGGAAAGGGAAUGUGGGGGAUUUUGAUGGAAGGGAAUGUGGGGUAUUUGAAGGGAUUGGGUGAAGGCAAGGGGAUCACCAAAUCCCCUACCCCCUAGUGGCUGGAAAAAAGCUAGUGUCAAACGAGGCCUUAAUGUGGACGGGGUGUUCUUUAGAGAUGAGAAUGGCAACACAGGUCGCAGCGGUUGCAUUUUUUAGAGAUGGGAAUGGGAAUUAUGUCACUCUAUUAUUGGCUCUUUAUUCUACCUAUGUACAUCUAAACCAGACACCAUGCUUAGUGUUUGCAUGUCUGCCCGUUUCCAAGCAACAACGAAGGAAUCACACCAUAAGGUUGUGAAACAUAUUCUUUGAAAUCUAGAUCACACACCAACGCAUGGAUUAUGGUACCCCAAGGGUUCAAAUCUUCACCUCGUUGGAUAUUCUGACUCGGACUAUGCUGGUGACCGUGUGGAUCGCAAGUCAACAUCAGGCACCUGUCAUUUCCUCAAACGAUCCUUAGUAUGUUGGUCAUCAAAGAAGAAGAACCGUGUGUCACUCUCCACUGCUGAAGCAGACUACAUUGCUGCUGGGUCUUGCAGUGCUCAACUGUUGUGUAUGAAGCAAACUCUCAAGGACUACGACAUCAACAUGAAGAAUGUGCCACUCUACUGCGACAAUGAGAGUGCAAUCACGAUUGCAUACAACCUAGUAUAACACUCGAACACCAAGCACAUCUUGAUUCAUCAUCAUUUUCUUCGUAAUCAUAUACUCAAGGGCAACAUUGUCGUCAACCACGUAAAGACUGAAGGACAGUUAGCGGAUAUCUUCACUAAGCCCUUGGAUGAAAAGAUAUUUUUCAUGUUGCGGUGUGAGCUAAAUAGCUUAGAAUCUUCGAAUGUUCUAUGAAAGGACACACAUCCUAACACUUAUGCAAAAUUGAUGACUUAUAUGUGCAACACACGAAGUAAUGUUUUUAUUCAAUCACUAAAGAAUAACACUUAAGUGUGAAGAAAUUAAUGAAGAAUUUGAUUCUCAGGAUCCUACGACAAUUGUAUGCGGUGCGUGAAAUCAUCAUUCUUAUACGGUGGCUCACGCCAACAACCCAAUUUGAAAUUAUUCAAGUUGAAAUUCUUCAAAAUUGAUAUUUUUGCAAAUUCUUCAAAUCUUCAAAGUCUUCAAAUUUUCAAAUUCCUCAAAUUUGCAAAUUCCUCAAAAGUUCAAAUUCUUCAAACUUUUCAAAAUAUGUUAUUCAUUGACUAUAUACUUAUUGGUGAGCUUAUAAGUCCUCAACAACAUUCCCUUAUAGAUAAGUCUUCAUGCGGUGUUUUUUCUUCUAAGUGAAUAUGAUCGGAGCUCAACCUAGUCUAUUCUCAAAUUCUUCAUAUGCUUUCCAUUUGAAACUCGUUCAAAGUCUUCACUAAAUCUUUGUGAGCUGAAGAAUUUGCAAACAAAGUCCUCAAAAAUUUAUUUAAAAAUUUCUCCAGCCGUUACGUGUGUGCCACCUGUCGAGCGGAGAGGAAGGGCCAGGGUCAUUUUGAUCCAAAAAUUUCGGGCCAAACUAUUUCUCACUUGGGCUACAAAUACCCAACUCUUACCCCCUCAGUCACUUCUUCCUCUCGUUUCCACUUCUCAUCGCUCGAAGCUAGUCCUAGCGUCGCAGGUGGAAAUCAUCGUCGCCUUACUCACGUCGGCUGCAGAUCUCCUUCCUCCUCCGCCACCAUAGUUGUCUUCAGCCGCCGAGUUAGGGCGCUGAAGAUCUGAACCGACGAGCUUCUAUUUUCAGCGUCUACAGUUUUUCGUGUUCUUCAUGUUCUUCAUCCAAGGUAAUUAAUAUCUAAUUUUACUACCACUAUAGAUCUUUAUGUUUUCAUAAAAUCUUUGAAAAAGUGUUACUCCUUAGCAAAUUCAUAAGAUAAACAUUUCUAUGUCUAAGAACACUUGAUAAAUUUCGCUAAGUUACACAAUUCCUCAAGAGAUUCCUCAAUUGUGUGAAUUUUUGGAUCUGCACAACUCUAUAAUCCAAGACAACGACACUCAGCAAAAUUCGUCAAAAACAAUAUUGGCCAAAUUCCUCAACUUGAGUCAUUUUUAAAAAUCUUGUGAGAACGCAUAUGACCUCUUCAAAUUCGCCUAUACUCUGUUCACACGUACAAAAUGGUUGCUAACGAAUCUCUAUGUUCUCAUCAACUUAACUCAUUUGCAACAUUUCUUGAAGAAAAUUUGCAUACCUCAUCACAGUCCUCAAAAGUUCAUAUUCCUCAAAUGAAGAAAAUGGCUCAUGAGAAGAAACAAAAGGGUGGAAAGAAGGCCGAUACCAACACUGCCUUUAAGAUUCUUGAUGACAUCUAUGAUGAAUAUUGCACACGUGACAAAUAAAUCUAUGGAAAAGAGACAAAAGAAAAGCGCAAAACACGCUUGCAGAAAAUUGAGAGAAGAUGAGCCAAAGAAUGGAGGGAGUAUAGGUAUGUGACUCCCAAAUAAAUGAGGAAAUUUGCAUUGAAGCCUCCAUGCAAAAGGCCUCCUCUAGGCGAUUAACAAGUUGCUAAUCCAACAAGUCUUGCAACUAUUCACGACUAUCCUGAAGAAUAUGCAAAGAAACACGCGAGACUGCAGAAAGUUGCACAUCUGGCCGUGAAGAAAUUCAAUGAGGUAUCUGCUGUUGCAGCUGUUGCUGCCUCCUCCUCUGCUGGUGAGGCUUUUGGUACUAAGACUGAUCCAAUGUGAGCUAUUUUAAAGAAGUAUGCUGCCAAACCGAAGUCCUCACCAGCACAAACCUCACAACAAAUUCCUUUGUCAGCCCCUAAAGUGGCAGCAAAGUCCUCAACUGCUUCCACAUAGUCUUCUUCGCCACUGAAGUUGAUGACCAGUCAGAAUCCAAUAGGGACUACAAUUCCCUUAGGGCCAUCUACUUCAGGCUCCGCACAUACUUCUUCUAGUGCUAACAUGAAGAUGAAAAUGACUGUUGGGCGAGGAAAAAGGCCCAACCCUAGCGAAGUCCUCAAUGUUCCUUCUGCAUCAGAAGAAGAAGGUGAAGUACUUGAAGCAAUCAUCAGGAACAAGCAAGAAAAGGUCGCACAGGCCAAAGGCACUACCAUUCCUCUCAUGAUGGAUCCAAAGAUGAUACUAGACUUCAUAGAUAUCUGUUAUAACAAUCCUGAAACACUAAUUGACGACUUGAAGCUUCCACCUGGACCAAGUCACAUGUUGACAACCUUCAUCAAUGAAUAAAAAUGGAAGGCGCAGAAGGCCAAGCAAGCCAGAAAGGCUCAGACUCAGAAAAAGAGCUUUUUGUAGAACAACAUUCUGACUAUGACCCCUGGUCAGCUUCUCACCGCUCAAACUGAGAUCAAGAAGUUGAGUGAAGAAUCAACCGCUUUAAUGCAGACUAGAAGGGCACAAAAGUCAGAUUCGUCAACGUUGCCAUCAAAGUCAUCACUGAACACAAAAAGCAGGUUGCAGCCAAAACGCAACCUCAAAUUUCUGCGAAUUACAUAGUUGAGUUGCGUGACGACUCUGAUGAUGAAAUUCCUCCAACUGACGAACCUGCCAAGGCAGCUGAAGGAGUGGCUGAGCCUGAAGAACCUAUUACUGCCAGGAUAACUGCAACAGUCGUGCCUGAAGAAACUGCUCCUGCUCCAAAAUAUUCACAAGUGAAGAAAGUGAAGCUUCAUGAUGCAUCAGAAGUGAAGAAAACAAGGCUUUUGAACAGGAAGUAGCAAAGAAGAGAAAGGCUUCAACGAGCUGAGAGUCCUCAGAAGCAAAAUGCUUGAUGACUUUUCCAAAUUCCUCAACUGCUCCAAUCGUUGCCACCCCUAUCAGCACAACACCCUCCUAUGUGAUUGUGACAUUUGGUGUCGAGCACAUCAUCCAAGAAGGGCCCCGAAGACACACAUUCUGCUUCUUCCACACCAAUUGAUGAAGAAAUUGAAGUUGAUCCAAAUCCUUCAAUUCCUCAAGCCUCGUCUCCUUAGCCACAGCAGAAUACAGAUGUGUGAGAUGAUGAUGUGGACAUUGGCAGCACCACACCUGUGAUCAAUGAUUACUAUUAGGAAGAGGCUCAUCCCAACUCACCAUUGACCACUCGCAUUCCUCAAGUUCCUCAGUCCUAUGCUGCCACUGGAAUUCUUACAGGGUCUGACGACAAGAACACUCCGAUGAAGACCAUCCCGGAGACGAAAUCAGCUGGAUCAGCUGAACACACUGCAAAUCAAACAUCUACUUGGGAAAGUGCUGCAUCUGAAAUUGAUGAAUCUGCGCAGCAUAUUCCUCAAACUGAGAAGAGUUCCGCUAAAGAACAUGUUCCUCAGAGUGAAGACACUGCCUCUGAACCUCAUGUUGAUAAUCCUCAGUCGACACUAGUCGUAGCUGAAAUUCCUCAAACUGAAGAGCUUCGAAGACUUGUGAGACGAUUCAAGCCAAAUCUUCAACCGAAGAGUCUUCAGCCUUACAUUGGAACAAAAAGGCCAAAUUUAGACAAGGCAAAAUUCUUUGAGGAACAACACUAUUUCAUCGGCGUAAAUCCUUACGACUCUCCAAGGAUAAGGUGCAAAAGAUUCUGGACACACACUCAGAUGAACUACUAUGGCGCUAUACUCUUCAACAAGGACAAGGUUUUUUGGCACGAGCAAAUUCGUCAUGCAGACAUGGAGAAUACUCCUUUCUUUACUCCAGUUCUUCGUGUUCUUCGUGACACUGGAUUACUACCAUUCUGCAUGGACAUCUAUGACUGGAAUGAAGACAUCAUUAUUUAGUUAUACUCUACAUUGAACAUCUCAGGACAUGUCUUAGAUGUCAACACUUGGGUUCUGGACUAGAUGACUCAAAACACUCACUACAAAGCCCCUGCCACGGAAUUACUUCGUGCAGUCCCAGUUCCAAUUUCCUCAGAUGGAGCCAGAUGUGUCUAUGGCGAAAUUGAACUGCCAAAUCAUAUGAUGCAAGUAUCGAUGAAGCCUUUGGCUCCUGGAAGGCAGACAAGAACCACAUUCCUCCUGAAGGAAUUACUUUAUGUGCCCCGGACAGUUUACUGAAUCUUGUCCAAAACCUUCCGUCCAAUCAAGGGUCAUGACGCCAAUGAUGAAGAAAUUGUGGGCAUCAUGAAGAAUUUGCUCUUCAAUAUCAUCCAUGGAAUUCCAAUAAAUAUUCAUGAUUUCUUCAUGAGGACUCUGGCCAACACAUCUUUGUCACCUUUUGAUAUGAAACCGCCCUGGAUAAUGAAAUUCAUCAGGGACAGAUCUACUCUUCCUUACAAGGCAAAUAUUUUGAAUCACCUCACCUACUUGACUCCCCUUGAAAUUGGCAAGAAAUCUUUUGAGAUGAUUGACGGCAAAGGGGAAUCUUCGAUUGAUGAAGGACCUCGGCCCCUUGAUGGCCAAUUUUUCAAGGCUGCGUCAUAUUCCACCAAUGACGACACUGCCUCUUAGGACUCAGUUGCGAGAGGAAAAUCCCCUGGCGAAUGUGCACCACGUGUGCUGACUGACCAUGAGAUCUUGCUAAGUCUUCAUCGGAAAAUUGAUCGCAACCACAAAUGGAUAAAGCGUCAGUUUGGUGCCAUUGUGAAAGACCUCAAUGCAAUUCAGAAUGCUCUAAAGAAAGAUCACUAUUAUUUUCAUGAGAUCUUUGACUGCACAUGGGCCAUUCUGUCUCACCACAAGACUUCUAAGGAACUCACUGUUAUGAAGUUCCAGCAAGACUUCGACUGGUCCUGGCCGCCAAAGAAUAAGUUCAAGAAGACUCCAGUUCCUCAACUGGUGGCCAACUCAUUUUCUUCAACGUGCACCACUAAUGAUCGUGGAGAUCUUGACGACGUUGCUGCGACGAACGACCCCAACGCUCCCCCUCCACCAACAAAGUGAUAUUAUUCAAGGGUGUUAGUCCUCAGUUUCGUCCCUCUUCGUCACUUGAUGACAAAGGGUGAGAAAUCUGAGUUAGUCUUCAAGUAGGUCUACUUUAUUAGUUUAUGGGCUUUUGAACUAUGUUUUCUUUAAGUUAGAACUCUCGUUCUUCUGAAGUGUUUGGUUGUAUGACUUGUAAACUUAUGCUCGGUGGUGGCCUGACACUUUUGAACCAUUUUUCCUCGCAUGCUUAUUCCUCAUAUUGAUUAAUGCACGCAUGCUGAAAUUCGAGAGACUCCACUUUCCAUCAUGCAUUUCAAUUUCCUCAUGAUAUAUGUCAAAUGCCUGCAUGGAUUACUAGAUAUAGGGGGAUAUCUCCAUGGUAUAAAUCUUGAAUGUGCAUUUGUUGUCUAAAGAAAAUUCCUCAAAUAUGCACAUCUUCAGGGGGAGUUUCUCUAUAUCUUGCAUUCAAAUUCCUCAAACUCUGUACUUACACUUCAUAUUAUUAUCCUCGUUGAAAACUUAACAUAUUUGUCAUCAAUCACCAAAAAGGUGGAGGUUGUAAGUGCAUCUAGUGCCCCUUAGUGAUUUUGGUGUAUUGAAGACUUAUAGGUUAAGAGACUGAUAUGUUUGUGAGUGUACACAUGCUCUAUAAGUCACUGAGGAGUUUGAGUUAUUUGAAUAAAACCGACCCCUAAAACUGUAUGUCUUCGGCUAAAGACUUUGAUAUUUCCUCUAAAGACUUUGAAAGUGAGGAAAUUAGUGUGUCCAUGAAGAAAUUGAUGCGAGGACUUUGAAGCGUGAAGACUUUUGCUUUCAUAGUUUUAUUUUUUGUAUUUCGUGUCAUAGGACCACCGUACUGUUAAAGGGGGUCGAGGGAAAACUAAGGAAACGUUUUCAAGUGAUGCUCAUUUCAAAGCCUACACAUACAAACCCUUCGGAUGAAGCCUUUGGAAAUCUUCAACAACUUAGUCAAAUUCUUCAGUGGCGGAGACGAAGAUCUUCUGGUCUCUGAGAAAUUUGCUCUAACUGAGGAGUUAGGUCUUCGCCAAUGCGAAUCACCUACCUGUGAGGAACAUGAGUGACAUGAGGACUUUCAUAGCUGAAAUGUUUCGACCGAGGUUGUGUUGCACGCCAGUUGUCCCCAACCUUAUCCACCUAACAAUCAUAUUAUUGGGGCAUUUACGUUAAUUCAUGUCGGGAUUGCUCCCCGGCUAUAAAUAGCUGCCCCCAUAACCACUAGUUGGUUGGCUGCUCCGCGAGAGAAACUGACACUUGCCAUUUGAGAGCAACCCAUUCCUCGAAGACUUUGAGAGAAAUUCUUCAGUGAGGAAAAAUCCCAAACACCCUAACCAAAACCCAAAGUGAUUGAGCAUCACUGAAAAGAUUGUUCCUGUGUGGAACCGACGAUUGUUACCUUUGAGGACUGUGCAUCCUCCAUACGGUUAGGCCUCAUGGUCUAGAGCAUCCAGCAGUGAAUUGUGGAUCGCCGAGUGACCAAGUUUGUCAGGGUUUGGAAGUCUGCCAUGAAGACUUACCAUGAGUGUUGGGCGAGGACUGUGUGUCCUUAGCUCAAGGACAAUACGGUAAGGACUUAGUGUCCUGGGACUGUGUGUCUUUUGGUUUAAAUACUAAGCCGCUGCAAACCAGACGUACGACUGUCACAGCAGUUGGAACUAGGUCAUCAAACCAUUGUCUUCAUCAAGCACCUAGUUCUAAUUCCUCAACCCUUUCAUUACCUCAAUUUUAUGUUCACGACUUUGAUCUUUACUGUUUGAAGAAUUUGACUGAAGAGUUUCUCAAAUUCCUCACCUCAAAUUCUUCACUUAACUUAUUCUUCACCCGCAUGUCUUGAUCACACUACUUGUGUAAUUCGAACGUUUCACUUCACUGUGAUGACUAUGCUUUCGUUGUUUUGCACAUCUGUUUGAAUACUAAGUCCACUCACUCACCUCGUAACUGGGGACUUUUCUCACAAUGAAUUUACUGAGUGAUGAAUUUAUAAAAAUAACCUAUUCACCCCUCCUCUAGGCGAUAACGCACUUUCAGAGACUCCACCCAUAGGCAUUAUCGGACAUCCGCAACCAGCAUCAACAUGCCUGCUUGCCUAGCUAUCCACCUUGGAGCCGUUUGUACCUAGGUACACUUCGCCCCCCUGUCGACGUCCUCCAUGGCGGACACCACGCGCGACAGAUGUCCAAUCAAAUGCCAUUGAGCUUAUUUUUAAACUCUAUAUCAUUUGUAGAGCAUGAAGGAUGAUGAGCUAAUCGACCAUGGAGGAUGAAUUGUUGCGCGGUACGUGGUUGGUCGUAUCCGUGAAUUUCAUAGGCAUGAGAAAAAGGGAGACCUUCUGACAGCAAGUGUACAAAACUUUAAUGAAUGAAAGCACAUUGCGCCCUCCGACAUGUAUAUCACUCAACUAGAUAACGUGAUGUCGUUGUCGUAUCGCUGGUACGCUAUCCACACCAGCGUCACCAAGUAUUGCAACGUGGUUCGUCACCUAUAGGUAAGGUGACCAUUGCAUGCGACAGAGAACAAGAUCGUAAGUUUUGCUUCUUCUUGCUCAACUUAUUGAUUGNNNNNNNNNNNNNNUACUCUAUACAUUAUAUUUAGCUCGCACGUACUGCCGUGGUGUACCACAUGACAUGAAAACAAUCAUUUACGUGCACGCAUUGUUGGAUGAAUCUCAAAGGUGAGUAUAUGUGGAAUGACAUGACCCGUUGAUGAAAAACCUGUUGGACAUCUGGGAUCUAGUGGAAUUUGAGACAUUGUUGUACUACAUGUAUGAAUGAUUUUUAUUAUUUUCCAUUCGGAUUUUAAUGAAUAUCGACCGUUUUGCAUGAAUUUCAUUUGACUUAUUUAAAUACGGAUUAAAAUGUAUGCAACUAUGGCUGGAUAACAUCCUUCCGCAUUCGUCUUCGCGGACUGAUUUAUGUGUCCGUGAAGAGAUGCAGAUUUUGUUUUACGGGUAGCCAUUGAAGAUGCCGUACCACUCACAUGCUUUUCCCUGUCCAUGACUGGAUACCGAUAAGAGUGACGCGGUCUCUUUUGCCCGUCAUUGGCACAGGUGUGGAUAUAGCCAUUUUUUAGCAGCGAAGCUAGUAAAGCAGAAUCAGAUUUACGCGUGUAACAACUCCAUGGUGGAACUAUAUCGACAGUUUGACUCAAUAGCCACGCCGAUGCAAGAGAUAGUGCAAAUGGGACAUUAUAUUUCUUGAUAUAAAGUUACAAGUUCCAAAGACAUGAGUUUAUGUCCUUUGCUUAUUUCUGUGUGUACUCCACUUGGCAACCAUGCAAUGCACGGCCAGUACAACACUCACCAUAUGCAUGCAAGAAGCGUUUUAUUUCUUGCACACAACACCUUUGCCGUCCAUGCCACUGGCGCAGGUGACACCAGCGAGCUCAGAUAGCACCGCGACAUCGUCGUUUCCACGGCUGACCCCAUAGCGCGCCACGCUGCAGUCUGGGGCGAACAGGCUGGAGGUGGUGAAGGUGGCAUCUCCACCCAUGGUGGGCAUGGAGGCCCUCACGUCGAAAUGGUUGACGUAGUCGGAGCGGUACGUCUGUCCGACCACACCGUGGACGUCGUCGGUGAGCGCGUCGAACUUGAACGCCAGCUCGAGGUGUGCUAGGCAGUCAUCGUCGGUAACGCCGUAGCGGUGCACCCUCGAUUCCUCCUCGGUGAUGGGCACGACGUUGGCCCUGAUGCUGAACUUUCCGUCAACGGCGACCAGCACGCCGUUGGCCGCCUUGG
rnacentral:lncRNA from 1 species